rnacentral:rRNA from 1 species
GAUGAACGCUGGCGGCGUGCUUAACACAUGCAAGUCGAACGGAAAGGCCAGUGCUUGCACUGGUACUCGAGUGGCGAACGGGUGAGUAACACGUGGGUGAUCUGCCCUGCACUUCGGGAUAAGCCUGGGAAACUGGGUCUAAUACCGGAUAGGACAAUGGUUUGGAUGCCGUUGUGGAAAGUUUUUUCGGUGUGGGAUGAGCUCGCGGCCUAUCAGCUUGUUGGUGGGGUAAUGGUCUACCAAGGCGUCGACGGGUAGCCGGCCUGAGAGGGUGUACGGCAGCAUGGGAACGGGGGAACGGACCAGGUGCCUGGGGGGGGCAGCGGGGGGGAAGAUGGCACAGGGGGUGAGGGCCUGAUGCAGCGCGGCCGGGGGGGGGGGGGGGUCUUGGGGGUUGAAAGCCCUUUGGGCAAGGGAGAAGGGUUGUUGGUGACGGUACGGGGAAAAGAAGCCCGGGCAAACUACGUG